rnacentral:rRNA from 1 species
AUUGAACGCUAGCGGGAUGCCUUACACAUGCAAGUCGAACGGCAGCGCGGACUUCGGUCUGGCGGCGAGUGGCGAACGGGUGAGUAAUGUAUCGGAACGUGCCCAGUAGCGGGGGAUAACUACUCGAAAGAGUAGCUAAUACCGCAUACGCCCUACGGGGGAAAGGGGGGGAUCGCAAGACCUCUCACUAUUGGAGCGGCCGAUAUCGGAUUAGCUAGUUGGUGAGGUAAAGGCUCACCAAGGCGACGAUCCGUAGCUGGUUUGAGAGGACGACCAGCAAAACUGGGCGUGAGACCCGGCCCAGACUCCUACGGGAGGCAGGAGUGGGGAAUUUUGGACAAUGGGGGAAACCCUGAUCCAGCCAUUCCGCGUGUGCGAUGAAGGCCUUCGGGCUGUAAAGCACUUUUGGCAGGAAAGAAAUCGCAUCAAGUAAUACUUGGUGUGGAUGACGGUACCUGCAGAAUAAGCACCGGCUAACUACGUGCCAGCCGCCGCCGUAA